UAUAAGGGUGCUCAUAUAUAGGUUGCGCUAUAUAUAUAGGCUAUAUAUAUAGGUUGCGCUACUGUUGUAAUUUUGGCAUAUGAUAAUUGUGCAUGCCUUUAGAAUGGCAGUCACAGAAUAUAAAUGAAAAAAUUGUCGUAAAUUGAAAAUAGAAAAUAAUAAGCUGUUAAUAUUGCAAGGUUGAAAUGCCAGAAGCAGUACGCAAAGAAGAUUAAUGAAAUAUGUAGCCUUAUUUCCUAGGUAGGAAUAUUUUUAUUUUUAUAAGUUAUAAUCCUAUACACAUUUUUUUUUAAAUAUGAUUUUGUUAUUUUCCCAUACACAGACUACUAAGACUCAAACUGAGUAAAAAUUUUCUAUAAAAAUAAGAAACGACAGACAAACGAUUUAUUUAUGUACAUUAAA
rnacentral:misc_RNA from 1 species